CGAGGUGGGCGGGACGGGUGAGUAAUGUCGGGGAAACCGCCCGAUGGAGGGGGAUAACUACUGGAAACGGUAGCUAAUACCGCAUAACGUCGCAAGACCAAAGAGGGGGACCUUCGGGCCUCUUGCCAUCGGAUGUGCCCAGAUGGGAUUAGCUAGUAGGUGGGGUAACGGCUCACCUAGGCGACGAUCCCUAGCUGGUCUGAGAGGAUGACCAGCCACACUGGAACUGAGACACGGUCCAG
rnacentral:rRNA from 1 species